rnacentral:siRNA from 1 species
GAGAAACGGUUCCACUGUAAGC